rnacentral:lncRNA from 1 species
GGGCAGCGUCCGUCGCGUCCGCCACCGCGAUGCCGAUGUCGGCCUUCUUCAGAGCUGGUGCGUCAUUCACCCCGUCUCCUGUCAUGCCACAGAUGUGCUUCCUCUCCUGCAACCUCCUCACGAUCUCAUACUUGUGCUCUGAAACAUCAGCAUCGAGCAUGGGAUCGAGGUGAAUGCAAGCAGGUGAAGAGACCCAUCACAAACAAGGAUGCAUCGUUACCGGGGAAGACUCCAGCAAAGCCGUCAGCCUUCUCAAUUAGGUCAUCGAUGGGGAGGCCGGUGACGUCGUCGGUCU